UACGUAGGGGGCAAGCGUUGUCCGGAAUCAUUGGGCGUAAAGAGCGUGUAGGCGGCCCGAUAAGUCCGCCGUGAAAGUCCAGGGCUCAACCCUGGAAUGCCGGUGGAAACUGUCGGGCUGGAGUCCGGAAGAGGCGAGUGGAACUCCUGGUGUAGCGGUGGAAUGCGCAGAUAUCAGGAAGAACACCAACGGCGAAGGCAGCUCGCUGGGACGGAACUGACGCUGAGGCGCGAAAGCGUGGGGAGCGAACAGG
rnacentral:rRNA from 1 species